rnacentral:rRNA from 1 species
AUGAAAUCCAUUUUUUUUCAAAAAGAAAAUAAAAGACUAUUUCGAUUCCUAUAUAACUCUUAUGUAUCGGAAUAUGAAUUUUUUUUGUUGUUUCUUUGUAAACAAUCUUCUUGCUUACCAUUAGAAUCUUCUGGAACUUUUCUGGAACGGAUCCACUUUUCUAGGAAGAUGGAACAUUUUGGGAUAAUGUACCCUGGUUUUUCUUGGAAAACCCUAUGGUUCUUUAUGGAUCCUCUUAUGCAUUAUGUUCGAUAUCAAGGAAAAGGCAAUUCUUGCAUCAAAAGGCACUUUUUUUUGAAGAAGAAAUGGAAAUGCUACCUUAUCAAUUUCUGGCAAUAUUAUUUCUGUUUUUGGACUCAGCCGUGA